AGGCCAGUAGCUCAAUUAGGCAGAGCACCGGUCUCCAAAACCGGGGGUUGGGGGUUCGAUUCCCUCCUGGCCUGCCA
rnacentral:tRNA from 9 species